ACAAGUACCGUGAGGGAAAGUUGAAAAGUACUUUGAAGAGAGAGUUCAAGAGGACGUGAAACCGGUAGGAUGGAAACGGAUAGAGCCAACGAACAAGCCCGUAUUCAGCUAGUCGGUUGCGUGCGGCAUGCCCAUUACGUCCCGGCCUGGGACGGUGGGUGUGUGCGGCAUGCGAUCGGCUAGUGCAUUUGCGGGUGAUGUGCGCUGAGGCGUGUGGUGGGCGCUUGCGAACCGUCACAAGAGGCCCAGCCUUCGGGUUGGUAACCUGGUGACGAGGUGGUAGGCUGCUUGCUGCACGUAGAUAAACGGCUAGGUGCAAACGCGCUGCCGUGCUGUGGAGGUCGUCCUGCGGGUCGGUCGCAUGCGACUAGGCUCGUUUGGGCGGCCCCUGCGGCGCGAUAGUGCCCUAGCCGACCCUCGGUGUAAAAGUUGGUCAUCUCUCCGACCCGUCUUGAAACACGGACCAAGGAGUCUAGCGUAUGCGCGAGUCAUUGGGUGGAAAACCCAUAGGCGUAAUGAAAGUGAAGGCUGCCUCGUGUAGCUGAUAUGCGAUCCGUCGGGCUGCGGCCCGUGCGGAGCAGCAUAGCCCCAUCCGAAGGGCUUGCCCUAGGGUGGAGGUAGAGCGUAUUCGCUGGUACCCGAAAGAUGGUGAACUAUGCCUGAGCAGGAUGAAGCCAGAGGAAACUCUGGUGGAGGUCCGAAGCGCUUCUGACGUGCAAAUCGAUCGUCUGACUUGGGUAUAGGGGCGAAAGACUAAUCGAACCAUCUAGUAGCUGUUUCCCUUCCGA
rnacentral:rRNA from 1 species